rnacentral:rRNA from 1 species
UACGUAGGCGGCAAGCGUUAUCCGGAAUUAUUGGGCGUAAAGCGCGCGCAGGUGGUUUCUUAAGUCUGAUGUGAAAGCCCACGGCUCAACCGUGGAGGGUCAUUGGAAACUGGGAGACUUGAGUGCAGGAGAGGAAAGUGGAAUUCCAAGUGUAGCGGUGAAAUGCGUAGAGAUUUGGAGGAACACCAGUGGCGAAGGCGACUUUCUGGCCUGUAACUGACACUGAGGCGCGAAAGCGUGGGGAGCAAACAGG